UGAAAGUCUGAAAUUAUAGUUCAGGUAAUGGUUGCACUACAGGAUGGUGUCGUACAUUACGCUGGUUUUCCUUGCAUAGAUCACGGGUCUCCAUAAGUUGUCUUUCUAACUUCAAUACUUUUUUCUUCAAAAAAUCUAGCUCCUGAAAAAUGUUUGUAAUAUCAGGAUGAAUGAUCUUCUGCUCUUCUUGCCUUAUGUCGUGUUCCAAUGAUGCCAUGCUGGUGAGGAAUUGAUCCACGUUCUAUGUAUACAAUAUUUCGAAUUUCCAUGCAACAGCCAAUGUGAUUAUCCAAGGUUGUCUUUCUUCAAGUUCUCUGUUAGAAUGCCGUAUUUGUAUUGAGCAGUCUCUUUUAUAGCCGAGCAAAGCAUCGAGCCGAGUCGAGCAAAGCGUCGAGCCGAACAAAGCGUCGAGCCAAACAAAGCGUCGAGUCAAGCAAAACGUCGAGCAGAGCGUCGAGAGCAUUUUUUCAAACAAAAAUAAAUUUUCUGGAGCCACAUAGCAGAUCACGUAAUUCGGUCAUUGUUUUUUUCUCGAUAUAUUUGCCAUAUACCUUCGUUGUUGGUCGUAUGGACUUAUUGCAUAUCAGACAACGCCUCGUCCGCGUUCAAUGCCGAACUCAACAGUGUUUUCCUAAACUCGUUUACACUACUCCGUACAUCUGUUUUCAACUUUUUUCGAGCAGAGCAAAGCGUCGAGCAGAGCAAUGCGUCGAGCAGAGCAAAACGUCGAGCAGAGCAAUACAUCGAGCAGAGCAAUACAUCGAGCAGAGCAAAGCGUCGAGCAAAGCAAUACAUCGAGCAGAAGCAAAGCGUCGAGCAGAGCAAAGCGUCGAGCAGAGCAAAGCGAGCAUUGCUUGAGACAUUCACCCAAAGCCUUGGUUGACCGGAAUGAAAUGUUUGAUAUUGGCACUGUCUUUAUAAUGUCAAUGUUUUGUCCAAUGAAAACGCAUUACGUCAUGCAGUUUGACAGGUGUAAAAUAAUUUUCAAUAACUGUGUCUGACUAUACUUGUGUAUCAGUAUUUUUGAUGAUAACAAAAGUAUAGCGACCUUAUUCACAUACAUGCACAUUCCCAAAUACAUGCAACAAGCUUUCGGUUUCAUGUUAUUGUUUCUAUGAAUUUGCGUAUAUAUAUCUUCAUAUAUUUUCAACUAUUUCAGGCGGG